UUAGAUUUUAUUUAUUAAUUUUUUAAGUAAUUGUUUAAAAAUAUUAAAAAUAAUUAUAAUAUUUAUAGUUUUAGUAUUUUUUAAAGAAAAAAUAAAUUUAAUAAUAGUAAAAUAGUAUUGUAAAAGAAAAUUGAAAUAAUUUGAAAAAUUUUUAUUAAGAAAGAAAAUUUAAUUUAUUGUACCUUGUGUAUCAGUGUUUAUUAAAUAAAAAAUAUUUACAAAUAUUUUUCUCGAUUUUAAAAGAGUUAAUAUAAUAUUAAAGUUAUUGUGAUAAAAAUAUUUUAAAUAUUAUAUUAGAAAUGAAAUGUUAUUCGUUUUUAAAGGUAUCUAGUUUUUCAAGAAAUGAAUUUAAUUCAGAAAUUAUAAAUUUAUUUAAAAAAUUUUUUAAUUAAAUAUUUUAUAAUUUUAAUAUUUUAUGGGAUAAGCUAUAAAAUAAAUUUUUAAAAAUAAUAAAAAUAUUUAAAAAAUAUAUGCUUAGAAUUAGCAAUUGUUAAUAAGUAUGUUAUAAUUUAUUUUAUAAUAUAAAUUAUUUAUUAUAUUUUAAGUUUUUAUUGAAAUAUAAAUUUUAAUUUUUAAAAUUUAGUAAUAAUGAUAAAAUUAGUAUAUUAUUUUGUAAAAUAAAUGAAAAUGAAAAGUUGAAAUAAAG
rnacentral:rRNA from 1 species